rnacentral:rRNA from 1 species
AUUGGACGCUGGCGGCAGGCUUAACACAUGCAAGUCGAGCGGAGAGAGGUAGCUUGCUACCGAUCUUAGCGGCGGACGGGUGAGUAAUGCUUAGGAAUCUGCCUAUUAGUGGGGGACAACAUUUCGAAAGUAAUGCUAAUACCGCAUACGUCCUACGGGAGAAAGCAGGGGAUCUUCGGACCUUGCGCUAAUAGAUGAGCCUAAGUCGGAUUAGCUCGUUGGUGGGGUAAAGGCCUACCAAGGCGACGAUCUGUAGCGGGUCUGAGAGGAUGGUCCGCCACACUGGGACUGAGACACGGCCCAGACUCCUACGGGAGGCAGCAGUGGGGAAUAUUGGACAAUGGGCGCAAGCCUGAUCCAGCCAUGCCGCGUGUGUGAAGAAGGCCUUAUGGUUGUAAAGCACUUUAAGCGAGGAGGAGGCUACUUUAGUUAAUACCUAGAGAUAGUGGACGUUACUCGCAGAAUAAGCACCGGCUAACUCUGUGCCAGCCGCCGCAGUAAGAC